GAUGAACGCUAGCUACAGGCCUAACACAUGCCAGUCGAGGGGAAACGACAUCGAAAGCUUGCUUUUGAUGGGCGUCGACCGGCGCACGGGUGAGUAACGCGUAACCCACCUGCUCAUCACUUGGGGAUAACCUUGCGAAAGUAAGACUAAUACCCAAUGAUAUCUCUAGAAGACAUCUGAAAGAGAUUAAAGAUUUAUCGGUGAUGGAUGGGGAUGCGUCUGAUUAGCUUGUUGGCGGGGUAACGGCCCACCAAGGCAACGAUCAGUAGGGGUUCUGAGAGGAAGGUCCCCCACAUUGGAACUGAGACACGGUCCAAACUCCUACGGGAGGCAGCAGUAUGGAAUAUUGGUCAAUGGGCGAGAGCCUGAACCAGCCAAGUAGCGUGCAGGAAGACGGCCCUAUGGGUUGUAAACUGCUUUUAGAAGGGAAUAAAGUGAGAGUCGUGACUCUUUUUGUAUGUACCUUAUGAAUAAGGACCGGCUAAUUCCGUG
rnacentral:rRNA from 1 species